UGGCUUAGAAGCAGCCACUCAUUAAAAGAGUGCGUAAUAGCUCACUGGUCGAGUGACUCUGCGCCGAAAAUUUAACGGGGCUAAACUAUACACCGAAGCUUGGGAUACAUCUAAUGUAUGGUAGGAGAGCGUUCUGUAUGGGGUGAAGUCGUAGCGAAAGCGGCGGUGGACUAUACAGAAGUGAGAAUGCCGGAAUAAGUAGCGAGAAUUAAGUGAGAAUCUUAAUGGCCGAAAGUCUAAGGUUUUUGGAGGAAGGUUCGUCCGCUCCAAGUAAGUCGGGAGCUAAGGUCAGGCCGAAAGGCGUAGCCGAUGCACAUACGGUUGAUAUUCCGUAACCAUCUGUAAUUUAAGCAAAGGGACACUUUAAAAGGGUGUGACCCGGGCGUUGGUUGACCCGGGCGUAAGGGACCGAAAUUAGAGUAGGGAAGCACACUUAGCUGAAGGCGAGAAAAGCUUUGCGUAUAGAAACAGAUGCCCGUACCGCAAACCGACACAGGUGGACAGGAAGAGAAUUCUAAGGCCAGCGGGAGAAGGGUAGUUAAGGAACUCGGCAAAUUGACUCCGUAACUUCGGAAUAAGGAGUGCUCGAAAGAGCCGCAGAGAAUAGGCCCAGGCGACUGUUUAGCAAAAACACAGGUCUCUGCCAAAUCGAAAGAUGAAGUAUAGGGGCUGACACCUGCCCGGUGCCGGAAGGUUAAGAGGAGGAGUGAGAGCUCCGAAUUGAAGCCCCGGUAAACGGCGGCCGUAACUAUAACGGUCCUAAGGUAGCGAAAUUCCUUGUCGGGUAAGUUCCGACCCGCACGAAUGGUGUAACGAUCUGGGCACUGUCUCAACUACCCACCCGGCGAAAUUGUAGUACCGGUGAAGAUGCCGGUUACCUGCGGCAAGACGGAAAGACCCCAUGGAGCUUUACUGUAGCCUGAUAUUGGGUUUCGGAAAUCUAUGUACAGGAUAGGCGGGAGACUUGGAAACAUGAGCGUCAGCUUGUGUGGAGUCGAUGUUGGGAUACCGCCCUUAGGUUUCUGGAAUUCUAACCUGCGGCCGUGAAUCCGGUCGGGGGACAUUGUCAGGUGGGCAGUUUGACUGGGGCGGUCGCCUCCGAAAAGGUAACGGAGGCGCUCAAAGGUUAGCUCAGCACGGACGGAAACCGUACUCGCCCAGGCUGAGCCCUGCGGUCACGGAAGGCCGGACGCCCUUCUCCUGUAAUACCUCCGUCACGCCGGUGGCAAAGGCCACCAUACAGGGCUGGGUGUACUGGGUUUGAUUCAGAGUCUCGUCCGGGCCCUCAAAACAGACCUUUUCCAGAUCGAAAUCCACUUUGGCGCUUUCAAAUACAGAGCGAAAGGCGGGAUAGGUCUCAUAGAGAUCCCGCCCCAUCCCCGGGUGCUGGGUGCCCUGUCCCGCAUACAGAAAAGCCACUUUCAUGAGAAAACCUCCUGUUCCAAUUCCCGCAGGUGGGCGCCGCAGCCGCCACACAGCUCCUCCAGGAUGGCCCGCAAAGGGCGGAUCUCCCGAAGCAUGCCGGACACCUGUCCCGCCAUCAGGCUGCCGUUUUUCAC
rnacentral:rRNA from 1 species